rnacentral:rRNA from 1 species
GAUCCUGGCUCAGGACGAACGCUGGCGGCAUGCCUAACACAUGCAAGUCGAACGGAGAUAUUUGGAAGCUUGCUUUUUGGAUAUCUUAGUGGCGGACGGGCGAGUAACGCGUGAGCAACCUGGCCUUCAGAGUGGAACAACGUCUGGAAACGGGCGCUAAUACCGCAUAACACAAGAGAGUCGCAUGGCUUUUUUGUCAAAGGAGAAAUCCGCUGAAGGAUGGGCUCGCGUCCGAUUAG